rnacentral:rRNA from 1 species
GCAUCUUUUUAUUUUUAAAAGACCUAGCAAUAGGUAUGCUUAGGGAAGAGCUUGCGUCACAUUAGUUAGUUGGUGGGGUAAUGGCCUACCAAGACGAUGAUGUGUAGCCGGGCUGAGAGGUCGAACGGCCACAUUGGGACUGAGACACGGCCCAAACUCCUACGGGAGGCAGCAGUAAGGAAUUUUCGGCAAUGGAGGAAACUCUGACCGAGCAAUGCCGCGUGAACGAUGAAGUAUUUCGGUACGUAAAGUUCUUUUAUUAGGGAAGAAAAGAUGGUGGAAAAACCAUUAUGACGGUACCUAAUGAAUAAGCCCCGGCUAACUAUGUGCCAGCAGCCGCGGUAAUACAUAGGGGGCAAGCGUUAUCCGGAAUUAUUGGGCGUAAAGGGUGCGUAGGCGGUUAAAUAAGUUUAUGGUCUAAGUGCAACGCUCAACGUUGUGAUGCUAUAAAAACUGUUUAGCUAGAGUUGGAUAGAGGCAAGUGGAAUUCCGUGUGUAGUGGUAAAAUGCGUAAAUAUACGGAGGAACACCAGAAGCGAAGGCGGCUUGCUGGGUCUUAACUGACGCUGAGGCACGAAAGCGUGGGGAGCAAACAGGAUUAGAUACCCUGGUAGUCCACGCCCUAAACGAUGAGUACUAAACGUUGGAUAAAACCAGUGUUGAAGUUAACACAUUAAGUACUCCGCCUGAGUAGUACGUACGCAAGUAUGAAACUUAAAGGAAUUGACGGGACUCCGCACAAGCGGUGGAUCAUGUUGUUUAAUUCGAAGGUACCCGAAAAACCUCACCAGGUCUUGACAUGCUUUUGCAAAGCUGUAGAAAUACAGUGGAGGUUAUCAGAAGCACAGGUGGUGCAUGGUUGUCGUCAGCUCGUGUCGUGAGAUGUUGGGUUAAGUCCCGCAACGAGCGCAACCCUUGUUGUUAAUUGCCAUCAUUAAGUUGGGGACUUUAGCAAGACUGCCAAUGAUAAAUUGGAGGAAGGUGGGGACGACGUCAAAUCAUCAUGCCCCUUAUGACCUGGGCUACAAACGUGAUACAAUGGCUGUU